ACAGUAUCGUUCCUUCUGGAAAUUUUGCACCAGGAAUUGAACACAGAAAUCACGCCGAGCCAUCGGAACAAGGGAGCCGCGCCGCAAUACGGACCGUUUUGUUUUUGGAAACCCCGCUUCAAUACCAACGGCGACAGAAUCGAAAUCGCCAACUAGACUUCUGCUGUUGCGCUGUGCAAUGGACUGCCGUUGGCCUGUUCCAUCAUGUACCUAUAUUCAACUGAAGACCCCAAGGAACAUCCGCCCAUUCGAACGGACUAUAUUUGCUACGGACCCUCUUGUCCCGAAUAAUCGGUAUUUGCCCAAGUUCUUCCAGAGUAUCCAGUGAGAAGCUGACAAUGAACAACUGACGAUGUUAAAUGUUCGUCCUCGUUUUCAACAAAGAUGAUUCAAGGAAUGGAAGCAUACCUGUAUGCGUGAAUGGAAUCCAAUCUACAAAUUAGUGCACAGACUUUCAAACGACCAUUUUUGUACAGAAAAUCGUUUAAAAUUCAAUAGUGGAAUGUUUUCACUACACAGUUCGUACAGUUCGAUUUAAGUCCACCACUUUGUAAUAUUUAUACGAUACUCAGCUGUAAGGCUUGACUUGACGUUUUUAUGCAUUAUUUUAAUUAAUUUUCAAUUAAAUUCCAAGUAGGUAAAUA